GCUUUCGUGGCGUAGUGUUAGCACACUCGACGCGAAUUCGAGAGGUCCAGGUUCGAAUCCCGGGGAGGGCA
rnacentral:tRNA from 1 species